UACGGAGGAUGCGAGCGUUAUCCGGAUUUAUUGGGUUUAAAGGGUGCGUAGGUGGUGAUUUAAGUCAGCGGUGAAAGUUUGUGGCUCAACCAUAAAAUUGCCGUUGAAACUGGGUUACUUGAGUGUGUUUGAGGUAGGCGGAAUGCGUGGUGUAGCGGUGAAAUGCAUAGAUAUCACGCAGAACUCCGAUUGCGAAGGCAGCUUACUAAACCAUAACUGACACUGAAGCACGAAAGCGUGGGGAUCAAACAGGAUUAGAUACCCUGGUAGUCCACGCAGUAAACGAUGAUUACUAGGAGUUUGCGAUACAAUGUAAGCUCUACAGCGAAAGCGUUAAGUAAUCCACCUGGGGAGUACGCCGGCAACGGUGAA
rnacentral:rRNA from 1 species